rnacentral:rRNA from 1 species
CACAAGCGGUGGAUCAUGUUGUUUAAUUCGAUGAUACGCGAAGAACCUUACCAGGUCUUGACAUCCCCCGCGAUGCUUUAGAGAUAAAGCGGAGGUAUUCGGGGAGACAGGUGGUGCAUGGUUGUCGUCAGCUCGUGUCGUGAGAUGUUGGGUUAAGUCCCGCAACGAGCGCAACCCUAUUGCUAGUUACCAUCAUUAAGUUGGGGACUCUAGCGAGACUGCCAGUGAUAAACUGGAGGAAGGUGGGGAUGACGUCAAAUCAUCAUGCCCCUUAUGACCUGGGCUACAAACGUGAUACAAUGGCUGGAACAAAGGGAUGCGAAGCAGUGAUGUGGAGCGAAACCCAUAAAAACAGUCUCAGUUCGGAUUGAAGUCUGCAACUCGACUUCAUGAGGUCGGAAUCGCUAGUAAUCGCGGAUCAGAACGCCGCGGUGAAUACGUUCUCGGGCCUU